UAGGGAAUCUUCGGCAAUGGACGAAAGUCUGACCGAGCAACGCCGCGUGAGUGAAGAAGGUUUUCGGAUCGUAAAACUCUGUUGUUAGAGAAGAACAAGGACGUUAGUAACUGAACGUCCCCUGACGGUAUCUAACCAGAAAGCCACGGCUAACUACGUGCCAGCAGCCGCGGUAAUACGUAGGUGGCAAGCGUUGUCCGGAUUUAUUGGGCGUAAAGCGAGCGCAGGCGGUUUCUUAAGUCUGAUGUGAAAGCCCCCGGCUCAACCGUGGAGGGUCAUUGGAAACUGGGAGACUUGAGUGCAGAAGAGGAGAGUGGAAUUCCAUGUGUAGCGGUGAAAUGCGUAGAUAUAUGGAGGAACACCAGUGGCGAAGGCGUCUCUCUGGUCUGUAACUGACGCUGAGGCUCGAAAGCGUGGGGAGCAAACAGG
rnacentral:rRNA from 1 species